GAAACUGAUCUCUCCGUGAAGAAGCGGGGAUGAAUCUAUAAGACGAGAAGACCCCAUGGAGCUUUAAACCCGACAGCACCCGCUUACUUUAUACCUAAUUAUAUGCCCGUUGCCUGUCUGCUCGGUUUUAGGUUGGGGUGACCACGGAGUACAAAAUAACCUCCAUGAAAAAGGGGAUAAAUACCCUUAUUAGAGAACAACACUUCCAAAAACUAACAAAUUAAUUUCUAAUGAUCCGACAUUCGAUCAACGAACCAAGUUACCCUGGGGAUAACAGCGCAAUCCACCCCGAGAGCUCCUAUCGACAGGUGGGUUUACGACCUCGAUGUUGGAUCAGGGUAUCCCAGUGGUGCAGCAGCUACCAACGGUUCGUUUGUUCAACGAUUAAAACCCU
rnacentral:rRNA from 1 species